rnacentral:rRNA from 1 species
GGCGUGCUUACACAUGCAAGNNNNAACGAGAACGGCCCUAGCUUGCUAGGGUGUCAGCUAAGUGGCGCACGGGUGAGUAAUGUAUAGUUAAUCUGCCCCUUGGAGAGGGAUGACGUUUGGAAACGGACGCUAAUACCUCAUACUCCUAAUACCGUAAGGGUAUUAGGGAAAUGUCUUUUCGCCAAGGGAUGAGACUAUAUGGUAUCAGGUAGUUGGUGGGGUAAGAGCCUACUAAGCCAAUGACGCCUAGCUGGUCUGAGAGGAUGAUCAGCCACACUGGAACUGAGACACGGUCCAGACUCCUACGGGAGGCAGCAGUGGGGAAUAUUGCACAAUGGAGGAAACUCUGAUGCAGCAACGCCGCGUGGAGGAUGACGCAUUUCGGUGUGUAAACUCCUUUUAUAUGGGAAGAUAAUGACGGUACCAUAUGAAUAAGCACCGGCUAACUCCGUGCCAGCAGCCCGCGGUAAUACGGAGGGUGCAAGCGGUUACUCGGAAAUCNCUGGGCGUAAAGCGCGCCCCAGGGGGUCUUUUAAGUUGGAUGUGAAA